rnacentral:rRNA from 1 species
AUUGAACGCUGGCGGAAUGCUUUACACAUGCAAGUCGAACGGCAGCACGGACUUCGGUCUGGUGGCGAGUGGCGAACGGGUGAGUAAUGUAUCGGAACGUGCCCAGUCGUGGGGGAUAACGUAGUGAAAAUUACGCUAAUACCGCAUACGAUCUAUGGAUGAAAGCGGGGGAUCGCAAGACCUCGCGCGAUUGGAGCGGCCGAUAUCAGAUUAGGUAGUUGGGGGGGUAAAGGCCCACCAAGCCAACGAUCUGUAGCUGGUCUGAGAGGACGACCAGCCACACUGGAACUGAGAAACGGACCAGACUCCGACGGGGGGCAGCAGUGGGGAAUUUUGGACAAUGGGCGAAAGCCUGAUCCAGCCUUUCCGCGUGCAGGAUGAAGACCCUCGGGUUGUAAACUGCUUUUGUACAGAACGAAAAGGUUUCUACUAAUACUAGGAGCUCAUGACGGUACUGUAAGAAUAAGCACCGGCUAACUACGUGCCAGCCGCCGCAGUAA